CCUACGGGAGGCAGCAGUGAGGAAUAUUGGUCAAUGGGCGCGAGCCUGAACCAGCCAAGUAGCGUGAAGGAUGACUGCCCUACGGGUUGUAAACUUCUUUUAUAAAGGAAUAAAGUGAGGCUCGUGUGCCUUUUUGUAUGUACUUUAUGAAUAAGGAUCGGCUAACUCCGUGCCAGCAGCCGCGGUAAUAAGGAGGAUCCGAGCGUUAUCCGGAUUUAUUGUGUUUAAAGGGAGAGUAGAUGGGUUGUUAAGUCAGUUGUGAAAGUUUGCGGCUCAACCGUAAAAUUGCACUUGAUACUGGCAGUCUUGAGUACAGUUGAGGUAGGCGGAAUUCGUGGUGUAGCGGUGAAAUGCUUAGAUAUCACGAAGAACCCCGAUUGCGAAGGCAGCUUACUAAACUGUGACUGACAUUGAUGCUCGAAAGUGUGGGUAUCAAACAGGAUUAGAUACCCGUGUAGUC
rnacentral:rRNA from 1 species